GGAGUGUGUGAAAUGAGGUGUAGUGAAUUGUGACAAGAAACAAUUUCUCUGUUACUAUAAACAAAAAAAUCUGAUAGACGAAUCCGACGAGUUUGGCGCUUGAUAGCAGCUUAUGCCUCGCUCAACGGCAAUAACGCAGAAAACGUAACGGAUGAAAGUCGAAAAUUACCUCAAAGAGUGAGGGUUAGACUCUUAUUCAGACAUAUUCGAAAACUCAGGAAUUGAUGAAGAAACUUUCCUGGUCUUAGAAGCCGAAGACAGAAUAAACAGGUUAAUAACAAAAGAAGAACCUCAGGUAAAAUUAAGAAAUAAAUUAUGGUCAUUAAAGGAAAAGUUGAAAUAGGAAUAACAAGAUAAGGUAGGAAAAUAUCGCACGAGUUAUUACAUUCAUUUCUACAUUUGUUAAUUAUUUAUAAAACGUUCUACCUCAUAGUUGAUUUCAGUUUGAUAUU